UUAAGCGACUAAGCGUACACGGUGGAUGCCCGCAGUCAGAGGCGAUGAAGGACGUGCUAAUCUGCGAUAAGCGUCGGUAAGGUGAUAUGAACCGUUAUAACCGGCGAUUUCCGAAUGGGGAAACCCAGUGUGAUUCGUCACACUAUCAUUAACUGAAUCCAUAGGUUAAUGAGGCGAACCGGGGGAACUGAAACAUCUAAGUACCCCGAGGAAAAGAAAUCAACCGAGAUUCCCCCAGUAGCGGCGAGCGAACGGGGAGGAGCCCAGAGCCUGAAUCAGUGUGUGUGUUAGUGGAAGCGUCUGGAAAGGCGCGCGAUACAGGGUGACAGCCCCGUACACAAAAAUGCACAUGCUGUGAGCUCGAUGAGUAGGGCGGGACACGUGGUAUCCUGUCUGAAUAUGGGGGGACCAUCCUCCAAGGCUAAAUACUCCUGACUGACCGAUAGUGAACCAGUACCGUGAGGGAAAGGCGAAAAGAACCCCGGCGAGGAGUGAAAAGAACCUGAAACCGUGUACGUACAAGCAGUGGGAGCCUCUUUAUGGGGUGACUGCGUACCUUUUGUAUAAUGGGUCAGCGACUUAUAUUCUGUAGCAAGGUUAACCGAAUAGGGGAGCCGAAGGGAAACCGAGUCUUAACUGGGCGUUAAGUUGCAGGGUAUAGACCCGAAACCCGGUGAUCUAGCCAUGGGCAGGUUGAAGGUUGGGUAACACUAACUGGAGGACCGAACCGACUAAUGUUGAAAAAUUAGCGGAUGACUUGUGGCUGGGGGUGAAAGGCCAAUCAAACCGGGAGAUAGCUGGUUCUCCCCGAAAGCUAUUUAGGUAGCGCCUCGUGAAUUCAUCUCCGGGGGUAGAGCACUGUUUCGGCAAGGGGGUCAUCCCGACUUACCAACCCGAUGCAAACUGCGAAUACCGGAGAAUGUUAUCACGGGAGACACACGGCGGGUGCUAACGUCCGUCGUGAAGAGGGAAACAACCCAGACCGCCAGCUAAGGUCCCAAAGUCAUGGUUAAGUGGGAAACGAUGUGGGAAGGCCCAGACAGCCAGGAUGUUGGCUUAGAAGCAGCCAUCAUUUAAAGAAAGCGUAAUAGCUCACUGGUCGAGUCGGCCUGCGCGGAAGAUGUAACGGGGCUAAACCAUGCACCGAAGCUGCGGCAGCGACACUAUGUGUUGUUGGGUAGGGGAGCGUUCUGUAAGCCUGCGAAGGUGUACUGUGAGGUAUGCUGGAGGUAUCAGAAGUGCGAAUGCUGACAUAAGUAACGAUAAAGCGGGUGAAAAGCCCGCUCGCCGGAAGACCAAGGGUUCCUGUCCAACGUUAAUCGGGGCAGGGUGAGUCGACCCCUAAGGCGAGGCCGAAAGGCGUAGUCGAUGGGAAACAGGUUAAUAUUCCUGUACUUGGUGUUACUGCGAAGGGGGGACGGAGAAGGCUAUGUUGGCCGGGCGACGGUUGUCCCGGUUUAAGCGUGUAGGCUGGUUUUCCAGGCAAAUCCGGAAAAUCAAGGCUGAGGCGUGAUGACGAGGCACUACGGUGCUGAAGCAACAAAUGCCCUGCUUCCAGGAAAAGCCUCUAAGCAUCAGGUAACAUCAAAUCGUACCCCAAACCGACACAGGUGGUCAGGUAGAGAAUACCAAGGCGCUUGAGAGAACUCGGGUGAAGGAACUAGGCAAAAUGGUGCCGUAACUUCGGGAGAAGGCACGCUGAUAUGUAGGUGAAGUCCCUCGCGGAUGGAGCUGAAAUCAGUCGAAGAUACCAGCUGGCUGCAACUGUUUAUUAAAAACACAGCACUGUGCAAACACGAAAGUGGACGUAUACGGUGUGACGCCUGCCCGGUGCCGGAAGGUUAAUUGAUGGGGUUAGCGGUAACGCGAAGCUCUUGAUCGAAGCCCCGGUAAACGGCGGCCGUAACUAUAACGGUCCUAAGGUAGCGAAAUUCCUUGUCGGGUAAGUUCCGACCUGCACGAAUGGCGUAAUGAUGGCCAGGCUGUCUCCACCCGAGACUCAGUGAAAUUGAACUCGCUGUGAAGAUGCAGUGUACCCGCGGCAAGACGGAAAGACCCCGUGAACCUUUACUAUAGCUUGACACUGAACAUUGAGCCUUGAUGUGUAGGAUAGGUGGGAGGCUUUGAAGUGUGGACGCCAGUCUGCAUGGAGCCGACCUUGAAAUACCACCCUUUAAUGUUUGAUGUUCUAACGUUGGCCCCUAAUCGGGGUUGCGGACAGUGUCUGGUGGGUAGUUUGACUGGGGCGGUCUCCUCCUAAAGAGUAACGGAGGAGCACGAAGGUUGGCUAAUCCUGGUCGGACAUCAGGAGGUUAGUGCAAUGGCAUAAGCCAGCUUGACUGCGAGCGUGACGGCGCGAGCAGGUGCGAAAGCAGGUCAUAGUGAUCCGGUGGUUCUGAAUGGAAGGGCCAUCGCUCAACGGAUAAAAGGUACUCCGGGGAUAACAGGCUGAUACCGCCCAAGAGUUCAUAUCGACGGCGGUGUUUGGCACCUCGAUGUCGGCUCAUCACAUCCUGGGGCUGAAGUAGGUCCCAAGGGUAUGGCUGUUCGCCAUUUAAAGUGGUACGCGAGCUGGGUUUAGAACGUCGUGAGACAGUUCGGUCCCUAUCUGCCGUGGGCGCUGGAGAACUGAGGGGGGCUGCUCCUAGUACGAGAGGACCGGAGUGGACGCAUCACUGGUGUUCGGGUUGUCAUGCCAAUGGCACUGCCCGGUAGCUAAAUGCGGAAGAGAUAAGUGCUGAAAGCAUCUAAGCACGAAACUUGCCCCGAGAUGAGUUCUCCCUGACUCCCUGAGAGUCCUGAAGGAACGUUGAAGACGACGACGUUGAUAGGCCGGGUGUGUAAGCGCAGCGAUGCGUUGAGCUAACCGGUACUAAUGAACCGUGAGGCUUAACCU
rnacentral:rRNA from 1 species